rnacentral:misc_RNA from 1 species
UGGCUCUCGCAUCGAUGAAGAACGCAGCGAAAUGCGAUAAGUAAUGUGAAUUGCAGAAUUCAGUGAAUCAUCGAAUCUUUGAACGCACCUUGCGCCCAUUGGCAUUCCACUGGGCACGCCUGUUUGAGUGUCACGUCAACCAUCGCGCCGCGGGAUUGUUAUGAUCUCGCGGAGCGGAUUUGGACGCUGCCGUCGUUGGCUCGUCUCGAAAUGCAUUAGCUGUCUAAGGACCGCCAUCCGGUGUGAUAAUUUCGUUGCGCCGUGGUCGUGUCUGGUGAAGGCUCACAAAUCGCCCUCGGGCAAUUUUAAAGCUCUGGCCUCAAAUCAGGUGGGACUACCCGCUGA